UAAGAUUUCACUCUGCCAAAUCAUCAUUGAGU
rnacentral:piRNA from 1 species